rnacentral:piRNA from 1 species
UAAAACUGUGUGAAAAUGUUCUGAGAGCC